UUUUUUUUUUUUUUUUUUUUUUUGUUGGCAGUCUUCCAGUACUUUAAGUUAGGUCACAACUGUACACCGACAAAGUCAUGCAUUAAAUUAGGACAUUAUCAACUUAAUUGGCAACCAUUGCAGACCAUCCAACUUCCAACUAUUAAGUCAAGAUCCUGGAAAGACCCUCAAAAAAAAAAAAAUCUUGGAAAGGAUUUUUUUUUUCUUUUAAGAAUCUUGGAAAGGACCUAUUUACCUUUAUUCAGGACUAUUUCUUUAUUAUCUUUUUUUUAUAUGAGUUUUUUUUCCCUUAUUUUUGUUGGGUUUGGAAUAGAAAUGGAGAAUUUUGACUCCUCACGCCACUAUUAUUUUUAUUUCCAUCACAUAUUUUAAAAAUAAAAAAUCGCGAUUAGAAAAUUAUGUAUGACGCAGUAAUGGACAUGGUGCUGCAUAUGCAUGGUAGCUAGAGGUCUUUUAUGUUUUAUAGAUGUGCAAAACACAAAUAUUAGAUUCCUCCCAAAAAAAAUGCAGAAAAAGGAAAAACUAAGGUUGUGUUUGGAUUGUAUUUUUCGUGAUUUUUCAUGAAAAAAUUACUGUAGCGAUGUGAUGUAUGUGAGAGAAAAAUGUAAUAGGGAAAUGUGAUCACGGAAAAUAACGUAAUUUUCUGACGAAAAGUAGCAAUCCAAACAAGGCAUCUUAACUUGAAAUAUGAAUUUAAAACACCUUUCACAUCUCGUAAUUGCUGGUGAGCCUCACCGAAAAGCUUCAGAAAGUCAACCCCGGAGGAUUCCAAAUAGGACGAAUGAAUAAGAAAUCGCUGGUGAAGCAAGCCAGUGUUGAUUGAUUUGUGACUAAAAAGAGUAGCUGAUGGAGAUUACUUUGACUUUGCAAGUAAAUUAUGGCGGCUGACUCUGAGAAGGCUGACUUUGAUUGGUUGAAAAAAAAAACGAGGAGCACUUUAACCCCAAUGUCGCAGUCACUUAAUUAAAAGAGGAGGAGAAAAUCAACAACGGAUAUGGUAUAAUUAAGUCGAAUACCGUAGUAUUCAUUCUUGCUUGAUUAUUUUAUUAAAUUUAAAAUUUUAUUUAAAUUUUAUUUAUUUAUUUAUUAAAUCAAGUUGAAACGAAUUUUUAUCGAAUAUAUAACACUAUUUAAAUUUGAUUUAAUUACUUGACAAAUCAAACUCGAACGAACAUUUAAUUUAUCAAGACGAAUGUGAUUCUAGCAUCGAGUAGUUGGUUCACUUUUCAACCCUAACAAUGAAGGGACGAUGCAAAUGCCAUCCCAUAUAAUAAAAUGACCCGGCCAUGGUGCUAAUUGAUUUUGUUUUAUCACAAGUUUCAGAUCCAUGGUGGAUGGGUUUUCUAAACCAGAAACUUAAUCAGCAGCAGGUCAAUCACAGUCUACCAUGUUUUAUUGUGCUGAAGAUAAAGCUUAAUCUUAAUCUCUAGUAUCUGAAAUAACUACAUGCUAAACCUAGAUAUCUUUCGGGCGAUUGUUUUUCGUGCGUGUUGCAUAGGUAGGAUAUGUAUAACUUAAUCGAAAAUGGAGAUCUUUGGCUGGCUGAAUUGGUUACAGAAGGAAACGAAUCAAAAAGGAGCGUUGCACUGAAUUUUCUUCUCAAGGUAUUUCAAUGUCGAAUACAUAAUGCUGUUUAAAUUUGAUUUAAUUAGUUGGCAAAUCAAACUCGAACGAACUCUUACCGAGAUUAGUUCGAUUCUAGCAUCAAAUAGUUUGAUUUAUUUUUCAACCCUAAUAACAGACAGAUAUGCAUUAUGAAUACUUAGCAAUGUAAGUAAUUCAUCUUUUUUUUUUUCCUCUUUUGUUAAGUAAAAUUUUUAGUCAAUAUUUGCCAACAGAUAUGCUUGAAUUUCUCAUGGCAAUUGAAUUUGCUGCGAGAAAAGAACUUGUAUUCAAACUUCAGCCAGAGACAAUAAUCGAUCUGAGCCCUUGUACUAAUUGUUAUUACUGGUGACAAGCUCUUCAUGCAUUACAAACUGGGGAAUCAGCUGCACUAACUGAUCGAUUCUCUGGCCGACCAGAAAUCGAAACCGUUGAUUGAAGGUCGAAGAUACAGUGAAGAAGGUCACACAUAAUGCGAAAAAAAAUGAAAAAAAGUAAAAUUUGGCCAUUACAAAAAAUUUUUUUUUUAUCAAAUCUUGACCAUCAACCUUUUUUUUUGCCCCAAAUCCUAGAUCCGAGCCCACCCUAAUUGGCACUAGGUCAGGUGCGUAGUAGGUAGGGAUUGUGGCUAAUACGUGCCUAAAGAUAGAGCUGCAAAAAAACGCUCACCAUUUUGCCUUAAAAAUAAAUAAAUAAAAAUACAGGUUGCCUUGUACAACUGCAUUAUGAACCAGUACCGGUUUUUCUUUCUGGGCAAAAUCAGUACCGGUUGUCUUGUCCGUUUAGAAGUCUUUCUCCAUCGGAUCGCGAGCAAAAAGUUGUUACUACUCCCUCCGUCCCACUUUGAUACUCCUAUUUCUUUUUUCACAUAAUUAAAAAAAAAGUGAUUAACUUUAUUGGAAAAGUAAAUUUAAAUUGCUAUUUUUCUAAAAUACCCUCACAUUAAAUAUGGUACAACUUUAUAGGAACUUGAAUUGAUGGUAAAAAAAGAAUCAACUCUCAUUAAAUAGGGUAGAUUUAUAGUAACAACUACUUACAUUGAAUAAAGGUAUUUUAGAAAAAUUAAAAUACAACUACAUUUUUCAAUUGGAAAGUGGACUAUAAUUUGGGACAGAUGAAAAAUGAAUACAGAACUAUCAAAGUGGGACGAAGGAAGUAUUUUUUUUGUAAUUCUUAAAAAGCUACUGUCUCUUGCUUCCCCCCUUUGUGAUCUCUGGCCCAAGAAAGGGUGAAAAAUCCCAAAGGUCCAACCAUUAUUGUUUUGGUUAAAAACAUCGACUUUUCUUGUCGGUUCUUGCACGUGAUUUGAGUGGUGCAAUAAUCUUUUUUUCUUUCUUAGUUCUUACACGUGGCUUGGCUAUAAUUCAUUUUAUUUUAUCAUCAAAUCCAAGAGCUGCAAUAAUCAUCAAAUUGAGAUAGAAAAUAUGGUACAAAUAGACAGAACUUUUCUUUCCAAAAAAAACAAAAAAAAUAGACAGAACUUUUCUCGAUUCUUUUUCUUUUGUUGGAAUACAAAAACAUGUUUAAUGCCAAAAAAUAAAUUUAAGAUUUUCAUUACUAUGAUUUAUAAAUUUCAACCCUCCAGUGCUUUGGCAUAAUUUUUUUUUUAACGAUAACAAUAGAAUGAAAAAAUUAAAAAUAGAAAAGGUCUCGAAAUAGACCCUAUGGUGUUACGUAAACUCUUUUUUAUAUCUUUGUGGUUAAAAAAAACUUUUCUUUUGGGAAAAGAAUUCUUUUUUUUUUUGUGGAUAAAGGAUUUUUAUUUUUUUGAUAAUCCAUAUGUUGCUUAUAUUAUAUAGGGAAAAACGUGCUGGAUUAUAGCUGGAGCUGAUGCACCUGGAAAGCCAUAUGCAUGUGAUGGCAUGGUACGUAGUAGCAUGUCACAAUCAGGAUACGGGGUCGACGUGGGACGAUUUUAGCCUUUAUUUUUUUUUUCUCCAAAUCUUUUGCCAACAGCCCAAUCAUUGUUUUUUAGUGACAUGAAAUUCUUCACAACACAACAAAAAUAGUAGUCUCAUCAGCUUAUCUAACUUUUGCAUCCAUCGAGUGUUUAAAUAUAGCAAGAAAGUAAAUCCGACAAUACGCUGUGUUUGAAUUGGCGGUUGUUGUUAGAGGUGUUUUUUUAAAUAUUUUAUUAUAACGAUGUAGAUAAAAAAAUUUUAUGAUAAAUAUUUUUUAAAAUAUUUGAUGUAUUAUAUGAAUGAAAUAUUUUUUAAUUUAUAUAUUACUGUAAUAUUAUAUUUAAAAAUUUUAAUUUUAAAAAAUAGGCCAAUCCAAACGUUCAUCUUUCAGAAAGCAAUCGACCUUUCCCCAUCUUUCCCCCAACUUCUUGCUCUCGAACAUGUUUAAACUUAUGGAUGUGUACGAAUUACGAUCCCUAUACCAAUUAGACAGGGUCCUUUAUUUUUUCUGUUUCCUUUUUUUUUUCCCCACUAAGUGAAAAAUUAGUUUUGUUUUCAAAGUCGUUUAAAAUAUCAAUAUGGAAGCAUGCUUUCGAUUAAUUAAACGUUUGGAAGGGCCUUUUUACUAACAAAUCCUAAGACCUACCUCUCACAAUCAACUUCUUUUCAACAAUGCUACGGAAAAUAAAUGAAAAACCUAAUGAUAAGACACCACUACCUUUUUGCAGCUGAGAUUUGAUAGGAGAAGAAGAGAGAGAAAGGUCUGCUGUUUGGGGCUUUGAAAGGGAUAGAAGAGAACGCAAAUCGAAAGAUUAGGUGAGAAUCUAUUUUGCAGUUAAAAUGAAAAAAACUUUCUGCCCAGAUAUGGGUGGAAAAGAAAGGAAGGCUGAAUAAAGCUCUAUGAGAUUUUUUUAAUAUGCCACUUCUAUCUUUAGAUGUAUAUUCAAUAAAAUUUUAUUGGCGUACAUAUUUAUAAUUUUUUCAUUUCUUUACUAAACUCUCAAACAACAUCAAACUUUAUUAUCUUCUUGGCUCUUCUUUCGUAACUUUCACAUUUCCAAUCUUUGCUUUUCUAUCCUAAAAUUGAGGAUUCUCUUGGAAGGAAGUGGCAAUGCUCAACCAAACAGGUAAAGAUUGGUAAUGUGAUUUUCAAAUCAAUUGGAAAUAUUUGAACGUGCAUGUCCAUGUUUAUCUGCAUCUUUUGCUUCCUUCUUCAGGAUCCUCGUCCUUCCAUGCACUGAAGAACUGAAAAAGAAUGCACUCGAUCGGUCCAGUGUGCUGGCGAAGAUCUUUGAUACUCUUUUGAAAACCAUUUUCACAUUUUACUUGGGUCAUGGUUGAAUCAGUAUUAAUGAAUGGAGCAGAAAAGAUAUCUUUAAGCAUGUAUGAAACCAUAACCUACUGAUGACAUUAUGCAUGAACCAUUAUAUAAAGUGGAGUCGAUUCAAGUUCUUGCAUUAGGAAAGUAGAGGGAAGGUUUAGUUCAGUGAAGCAACCACGAUUUUGAGAUAAACUGCACUGGCGAUCAGGUCAUUCCAACUGAAAGAGAAGUAAGAAAUGAAUCGUCACACUUCCUUUACUUGUCUUUAAUAUUGGCCUACAGGUGGAUUUUAAUUUACCCCAGCGUUUUGACAUUACCUGUGUCGAUUCGGACCAAGAGAAGAAGCAGCCCAUCAUGAUUCAUCGUGCAGUUCUAGGAUCCUUGGAGCGGUUUUUGGGAGUUUUCAUAGAGCAUUAUGCUUGUGAAUUCCCGCUGUGGCUUUCUCCUACCCAAGCUCGGAUAUUUCCAGUCACAGAUACAUGCACAGGUAUUUGCCACUUUAUUGUGUCCCAGAUAUAUUGGGGGACUAGGUGUAAGGCUAGCUAGGUGAGAAUUAAACGGUUUGUUUGCAUUAGGGACCUUGCUCUAUUCUGUACUUCUUUUCUCAUUUGUUGCCGAGAAGAAGGUUGAGUAAACUAAUUCAAAACGAAUUAGCACUUCUCUUAAUCUGCUUAAUCUUAAUUGGUUGCCUCUUCAUGUUUAGAAACUUAUUAGAAAUGGAGAGAAGCAGAAAAUCCCAUUGAUGGAGAUGCAGAAACACAAACUGUAACUGUUAGGUCUAGGCAUAGCAGGGACUAUGCCAAUUGAUGAAUUUAUCACCCGAAUCAAGCGUGCAGUUGAGAGCAGAAUAUACAAGCUCAGAUUAAUUAACAGGUAAUUUUUUGAGUAUCAACUCAAAAACUACACGUUCUCUACAAGAUUUGUAGUUCUUACUUCACCGCGUCAAGUGGCACUAUCAAGAACAUUUGCAAUUAGUUGAUACAAAGACAUAAGAGUUGAUUAGCUCUUUAACUGGACCAUCUGCUUCAACAUUCAAUAUCAUCAGUUUGAAUUUGGGUUGACAAUUUGAGUAUAAUGGCAUCUUUUUAUCUAAACAAGGGUGAGUGGAAGAGGGUAAAUCUUCUCUUAUUUGCACGUCUCACUGGAAAUCCAUCAGCAGGACACAAGAAAUAUUUUUCGGAAUUGGCCUUUGCAUUGACAGAACAAUAUGUCUGUUAAUACUAUUAUUUUGUCCACAGCUUUUCAUUACAAUCUGCAACACGAUGAAGAGAAUGCUCGCAGGGUACACACCUUUUCCCUAUUCUUUUUCUCAUUUCUAGACAGUUUCUGCAAAACAAGUGAAGCUUACCAUUUCAAGUUAUGCUAGCUUUAUCACGCCAAGAAUUAAGCUACAUGAUCACAUUAUAUUUUAGCUAUCCUAAUAAAUCAUCUCCCUGAUUUCCUCUCUUUCUCUAUAUUCCAUAUCAAUUCAUGGUGUAAAGGACGUGGACAUUGAAUAUCUUUACCCAAAACAAAAGCAGGCCUUCCCAUUAUUUCCUCUAAACACAUGCAAUAAUCCAUCACAUAUGUUCUAAUCAUUAUUCACAAAAUCAAUAUUAAAAAAAAAAAAUCAAGUCAAUAACACGAAAGACUAACAUAAACUCUUCCCAAUAUGUAUAAUACAUAUCCAAACCCUAUAACUAACUAUCAAAAUUAAGCAUGUGAAGAAAUAACAAGUCCGAGAGUCAAGUACACAUCAAUGUGAACAUCAGCUACACUCCUUGCUGUAUCCUGGCCCCAUAGCCAUUAACUCCACUUACACCAUUGGAGUUACAAGGGUACUUAUUAAUUGAGCUAUCACCUUCCCUUUUUCUCUUCAAGACAAUAAACCAUGUGAAAGCUGCAAGGGCAGCUGCCAUGGCUCCAAUUCCUAUAAUUAUACCAAUGUAUAAUUCUUUUCAGGCUGAGAAUAAUCACUGUGUAGCCAACAACAUAGUGGUAGAUGUUCCAAUAAAAUCUAGGAUCUGGCUUUGGCCUCAAUAGCAAGGCGAAUACCUACAAGUACAUAGCCAACAAAACUAAUUAAAGAAAGAGGAAAUUUUUUAAAAAAAAAAAGAAAAGAAAACGAGAGAUAUGUAGCACCUUGCAGCGUAGUUAUCUGUAUUAAUGAAUAAUUGAUAAUGAAAUCUUUGAGUAUAUGCUGAUUUCCUACAUUUUACCUAGAGGGAAUCCUCUCUUUUUCCUACUAAUUUGUAAAGGUAGUUAUUUAAUUUUAGAAACUGGCCACGAUACUCUGUAAUGAAGCCAAAUUUCAAAGCUAUGAACAAAAAAAAAAAAAAAAGUCUCCCUUUGGAUGGCAGAUUUUUAGAGUGUUGCUGGAAUAGUUUUAAUGUAACACUAUCUUAAAAUGAGUCUACGUAAGAUCGAAAGUGUUACAAGAUUUCUAAGAACACCCAUCCAAGCAUGGAAACAAAAAAAUAGGUACCUGAACUGUUGCGAGGCAGACCAUAGUGAUACCAAUGCCCUUACGGGUGUCUUGUGAAACUACAGAUUCAUAGCCAAGUUUGAGACCUGCUCCCAAUCCAGAAACACCUCACAAACUAGCCAUUGAAAAUUAUGAGCUGGAAAACUUCCUGAUGGACACAAAUGGAUGCUUUCAAGAAAUGGAAUCGAGUCCUUGACUGCCAUGGCCGAGUCGGGCAACAAUAUUCAUUCAUGCUAGAUGGUCUUCGUUACACCGAUAUGGUAUAAUAAUAUAUGCAUCUUUGUUUACACCAACUUUUGAGAGCUCUACCUAAUAAUUCUACGUCCCAGGCUGUGAAAUACAAUUUAGCCUUUUUCCUAAAUGAAUGUAUACUUGGCCAGCAUUAUAAUUAUUACGAGCAUAAGAUUACUAUUAUUUGAGUUGGUACAACAGCUUGUAAAAAAAUGGGGGAAAAAAAAAAACACAUGAGCCAAAGUACUCGAAACUUAAUCAGCAAAAACUAUAAGUAAUGUAGUAGACUGAUGCAUGCACAGGAUCAUCAUAGUAACAGCUAGCUGCACUGGAGAAAAUGAAAAUACUAACAAUUAUAGCAAUGACCCGUCCAGAACCAGACGAACAGUCGAAUACUUUAUAAGAUGGGUUGAGUACGAAAAUAUAUAUAUAUAUAACUAGAAGGGCUCUUUCAAUAGCAGCAUCCAAAACGCCCAUACCGGCUCAAUUCAUUAUUUUGAGAUAAAGGAUACAAAAAGUAAAACUAAGAAAAAUUGCAAUUUUUUCGUUUUAUAUAAACAAUUUUUUUUUCUUUUCUUCGACUUUGCAUUGAAAGAACAUACUUCAAAAUGAUAUGAUUUAACCUCGAAUACAUUCAAAUGUAACAGAUGAAAAUGGAACUCAGAGAAUUGAUGUGUAUUCGAAUCAUCAUGGGAACUAUCAAUCGUUGGUAUGCUCACGAGGGGAGAAACCCAAUCAAGGCGAAAAUCCCACAAAAUUGUUUUGGGUUCUUCGGGGCCUGUGUUGUCAAUGUCUAAAAAGGGCCUGUGUUGUCGGCCAUUCGAUUCCCAGAAUUACUAUCUCGACCCAAAUUCGAUAUUUAAGAGUCAAAAUACGGAAUAGACUAAUUAACUAAAUCUGAUUGUCACUAACUACCUAUGUUACGGCCCAGGUUUUUUAAUUUAGAAAACACGUUUUUUCUCGGUCUACCUACUCUUUGGAAUUGGGCUACAAUGCUUUUUUAGCUGAAGGAGCUAUUUGGGAUUUUUCAGUUGGAUCCACCAAAUGGACAGUACCUCUAAAAAGAACGAACGAUUUAGUUGACAAAUAAAUUUGCGCAUUCUUUCAUGACCCCAAAAAGGGGGAAAAAAAAAAUAAAACAAUUAAGUCUUACAUCUUCCUGGCAAGUUUUCUAUUGAAAAAUGUGUGUUUGGAAAAUGCAAUCACCUUUUUUAUCCAUGAACACAUUUUUCAAUUACCUUUUUACCUCACAUAUAUCAAAUCGCUGCAGUAAUUUUUCUAUAAACAGUUCAAAAAAAUGCAAUCCAAACAAGUUGUUGCUUUCUCUUUGUUGAAAUCUGUGGUACGUUCUAGGUAAAAUUUUCAUUACGUUGUGGAUGGUAUAAUAAAAAGAAUUAACUGCAAUAUUCAUGAAAUUCUUGAUGGUUGCCCACACUUUAACAUUAUAAAAUGAACGUUUUUAACUGCUACUGUUUUCAUGCUUAUGAAAUGCAAUCAUAUGCCUAAAUGCAACCAUCAGUUUUUUAUAGUUAUUUUUGGUCACGAUUAUAACAUACUCACACAUUUGUUGCAUUUUCCGUAUGAGAGUUUCCAGUUCUUGAAGUGGAAUGUGUAACCAGAAAAUCGUCCCUUAAUUUGACACCAAUUUGAAUAACCCCCAAAGAACCCACUUUUGCAUAUUCUAAUAUGCAAAAGAAAUCUGAUUUGAGCAUAGGAAAAUCCAAAAACUGGAGAAUCUUCCUUUUUGUAUACAUAAUCUGUGUGCAUUGGAACAAAAUAGACAAAGUCCUACGACUUGAACAAGCCCUCAAUUCCAGUGAUCAUCCAUCUCCUGACGGCUGUACUGAUGCAGUUUUGUUUUCUUCUCCUUUGAAUCACUACUGACCAGACAUUGGUUGCUUCAAUGUGGGAUGCGAUGGCGGAGGUAACAGGGCGAAGGGUGCAGGCUGCAGGCUGCCGUCUUAAAACUCUGAAAUUCAUCAACUCCUUUUUUGCAUGGUAUAAAAAUGGAAUGGAUUUGUUAGAUUUUUUUUUUUUUUUUGGCCUAUGCAAAAACUUAAAAAAACAUUUUACGUUACAGAAUUAAGUACAUGUAGAGUAAAGUUUGUCCCACAAGAUAAAUUUUCUAGUUCCGUCUAUGAUAAUAUGGCGCACACCGGUGCCAAUAAACUGUCACCAAAUAAAUCAUUCAUCUUCUAAUAUUCAUCAUAAUACUUUGUAUCGAAUAAAUAUGUGCAUGGUAUGACAUAACAUUAGUACCAAUCACUUACUAAGAAUUGAUGAUGGUGAUUGCGUCAUGUACCUAAUAUUUUUCCACUUGAACUAUCAUGAUUCUAUCGAUAGAUUGUUUGGAUAGUUAUUUAUUUACAAAAAUUUAUUUGAUUGCAUCAUCAACAUAUUCGGUUCGACGGACAUAAAUAAUAAGAGCCAUUAAUGCAACGUGUGGAUUUGGGAACGUCCACAUUAAACGAUGGAUCAACCAUUGUGUGCGGAAGACUUGCUUCAAAAGUUGGACAAUCAAAUUGAGAAGUUUUGCUGACCAACGCAAUAAGUUUUAAAUAAGAUCACAAGACCUACAACUGAUUUCCAUGUCAUAUAGAUUUUGAUUUGUAGCAAACGUUAGAUCUAUUUUAGUUUGACACCAUAAGCAUUUCAUACCAAGAUUUUCAAACAAUCAGUUAAUCCCACCUGCUCCUAUCAAAUUAUCAAAACUUAUUAUAUAUAGCAUGGAUUGAGUGUGGAUAACCCACAAAUUACUUUUGUACGUGUUGCAAAUUAAGGUGCAUGUACUUUUUUUUUUUUUUUGGGGGUAAAAUCACUGUACUAUUAGAUAUUGGACCAAUAUUUGAUUAUGGCAUCUCAAUACUAACAGAAGAUGUGCCGAUAAUAGAGUAAAUUCCUCAGUAUUUGAUUACGGAGAGAGCUGCAAUUUCAAGAGGACUACCAAGUAGUGUUAGAGCUCAUGAGCAUCCUUCUUCAGCUGGCAUUUCUGAGCAAUGACAAGAAUUAAGCUUCUGCUACCAAAUGUAAUUAAUCAUUGCUGAAUUUCUGAAGUAUAUUCUUGUAGUCAGGCAAUCAUAGGAGUAAACAAUUCAUGUGUGAAAUCAAGGGAAAGAAUUGUUGGAAAGUAUGAACAACUUCUUCUCUGGGUAGCAUAAAAGAAUCAAAAAGUUGAUAACUUAGUCUACACCUCAACCGUUUUUUGAUUAAGAGCCAUGUAUCUCCACCUUUCUUUUUCCACAAAAUCUGCAUCAAGAAACCUGGAAACAAAAGCCCAGAGCCGAUACAAGUCCUCAAAGUUGGUCAAAAACCUGACAGAAGCUGAGACAACAGAAAUUUCCGAAUCAAAUUGACCUCCCUUUUUUUUGUGCUCCACUUCUCUUCUUUCAGUGUUUUCCUUCUCUAAUAUUUUCUGCUUCUCUUCCUUAUAAUUGUUUUCAAACCACACAUGCUGCAAGAAUCCGCAUGCAAGAGAAACAUUGUUUCGGUCAGCUAACUUCUGUACAAGAAUUGGAUCGAUUUUGUCUCCUUUCCAGUCAAAUACAUUGAAAGCCACAGCCGGUGCUCGGUUAAUGCUUAUUUUUGGUCCGUAGAUUUUAACUAAGGCUGCCCCAUUUUCUGAAUGUGGAUGUCGAAGGCACAGCAAUGCAUUUACUAGCCAGUUUAUGUGGUACCGAUUUCUGCUACUGAUCACAAUUAGGCCUACUUCAUCUGCAUGAUCUAAUCCCCUGCAUUCAAUCGUUUCUGAGCUUCUUAUACCACUGGGACUUGCAUCAUUUGAGACAACCCUUUUAUCUGAUUUUAAUAACUCGGAAAAUGAUGGUUCCUCCUGAGUUUUGCUGCCAUCUUCUUUAACUUCCUGCAAUUCAAAGGCUUCUUCACUUGAGCUAAAGGAUGAGCUAAGCAAUCCUGCUUCCUCUCUCCUGAACAACAUUCCUAAGGUCACAAUUUGAUCUUUACUUUCUGUUUCAGAGAUAGUGGAUUGUCUAAAAAGGUUUCCUGUUGGGAUAAGACUGACAACACCAAUGCUUGUGGAGGAUUUGUUUAGCACUGAGAUACUAGACUUCUUCACGAAUAAACAGCUAAAACCAGAAGGGUUUUCCCCCAACACCUUGAAGAAUGAACAGACGAUAAAGUCAGGAAGAAACAGAGUUAGCCCCAACGUCUCCAUCUCCUUGGCUGCUAACGCGUCUGCAUCAAGCAAGACAUGCCAACCAUUUUCUUGCGCUUUAUACAUCCAUUGAUAAGAAUAUGUUGCUCCAGUCAUUCUUGACUGCAGGGGGAAGACAAAUAAUCCCCCCCUCUUCUUCUUCUUCUUCUUCUUAUUCUUACGGAUCAUCUUCCUAAGCUUUUUUGCAUUUAUCCUCAAACUAGGCCAUGAGAACUUAGCUGACAAUAUUCGGGCUCCAUGCUUCUUGGAGCUUUCAAUCAUUGCUUCUGUUGCUUCAUUCUUGUAGUCAUAGACUGUAAGAAGUUUGUGAUUAGUCCGGAAGGGAUAUGAAUCUGCCAAAAGCUUGAAAGCGGAGGCCUGGUUAGCAGUGAAAACCAUGGAAUAAUCAUCUUCAGAGAUAUUCAUGUAUUUCAUGAUCCUUUUUCUCAUUGCCAAUUCAAACUCUGAUUUUUCGCCACCGUAACGUAGCAGAGAGAUCAAAUUGACGGACUUGUAUGAAAUAUCAAAAAAAGGUACUUCUGAAGCGGUAGAAUCUUGUGGUGGUGGAGGAGAUGAAGAAGUAGAGGCAAUUGCAGCUCCAGAAUACAAAUUCUGUUGCUGGGAAUGUGAGAAAAGGCCAUUGCCAGUGUAGUCCAGGCAGACAUGAUUUGAGAGAGAGAGAUGAUAGUACUCUUGUGAUCUAAUUUGGUCAACCGAAUCUGUAUUUGAGUAUUGCCGGAAGGAAUUUUUAAGGUCGGAAUACAAUUCUCUCCAUGGAGGGAGAGAUUCGUGAUUAGUAAACGAGGUGUCUGGUCGGAUUGAGGAACAAAUUGCAGAAAAGAAAUCUUGCUUGGGAGUGGUGGCAGUUCUAGUAAACUCGGAAGUGGGAGUAGGGGCCUCCGGCAGGCGAAGACAAGGAUUUGAGCACCAACUUGAACAGGCUUUUGAGGCCUCUCUGACGCAAGGUACUUCCAUAUCGCUCUUUAAGUUCUACAAUUUCUUUCAGACUUCAAAUCCUGCACUCCCUUUUCCUUGUUUUCCCUUAUUUUCCAUCUAACUUUGUGAUAAAUAACUCACCUAAUGCAGCAGAAAAAAGUUUCAUAUGUGCAAGUUUCUGGAAUGGUUAUUGAAUGCGUUACCGCAGGGGCGAAUUUUCCAGCAUAUGCUGAUUGACCAUGUCUACCAUGGAUUGCAGUGCCUUCCCUCUCACAUCUCAAUGUCGUAUACGGGGCGUUUAGUGCUUUCUUUCCUUUACUCUUUGUACUCUGAGAUAAAUCGGUCAAUAUCACCUUUCUUUGUUAUUGUCAACCAUCAUGUGAGGGGUAUAAUGUACAUUUUCUUUCAUUUCCAUUAAAGGCGGAUUAGAAAGUUCUCCGGCUAACAGGCACCUCCCCGGAGGAAAAUCUUAUGAAGCCGAAUAUUUGUCAGGAUAUAAGUUUCUUGUGCAAGUACUACUUAGACAUGUAUACAGUUAUGCAAAAAUUGUAUCAUGGGACUUGAAAUCUCCACCUGAUUGGAUGCUUAAAACUUCCUAAGCCACCCAUGUUUCUUUGGGAUUUGAGACAGGUACCGUUGAGAUUUUUGUGCGAUUAUUGUAUUUUGUUUUUACAUGAUUUGAUAGUAAAUUUUAGGGAAAAUACACAAACUCAACAUAUCAGCACAGCCACAUCUCUAAGCAAAUAUUGAAAAGAAAACAACGAACGCGUCAAUUGCAUCAAGAGCCAUCUGUGUAGGUAACAAUUAACAUGGCCAUAGAGUGAUGCAGAGAGCUGAAAGUCUUCGUCAACAUGCACUGAGAUGUUUUACACCUCCAGGCAUUGGUUCAUAUAAUUUCGAUCAGACAGAGAAAGUUAAGUUAGGACCAUCACAUUGUAUAGCCCAGCACAUGCUCUUAUCAGAUUAGUCUCUGAUUUUGUUUCAUUUGGAGUAAACCAAAGACUAGUUCUUAGCCACUUACGCAUGGAAUGGUUGCAAGUGUUUCACGUAAGAUAAGGAAAGCAACUUGAUAUAGAGCAUCUUUGUUGAGCUGCUGGAGCGGAGCAAAGGACAAGUGGAAAGCCUACAAACAUUUUUUGUAGUGGCCGGCACUAUACAGCCAUGCAGAUCAGCUUGAAGCUUUCACAAGAAUGGUUCAUUAUUGUACUCAUCGUUUAUCACAGCCACAUAACACCAAUAAUUAACCCCUCUCCCUGAAUUUGUUUUGUAGCUUACACUACAAAUAUUUAUCUAAGAAAGAAUCAGUUCACUGUGUCAAUUUUCAGAAGAAAACAGUAGGAAAAGAAUUCAUCCAGCUACGAAUGCACUAAAAAGCUGUAGAAGAAUACAUGUAUGGCUAUUGAUUUGAAAAAUUCCACACACACACACACACAUCAUUCUCAAUUUGCAUAUUUUGCACGUCUUUUUGGCAAAGGAAAAAAAAAAUAUUAUAUCUGAACUGUAACAUCAGUACAUCACCAGGCUGGCAUUAAUUUUGACAAAUUUUCACGUUAUGGGUCUCUAUCAUUAAUAAAUGCUUCAACCCAGCUCCCAUCCUGCCCACCUGAAUCAAACUCAAAUAGCCCUAAACAUGAGGGAUUCACGUGAGCCCAAAAGAUGAGGAAUUCAGUCAAGUCAAGAGUGGAACACCUUAAUGAUGAUGAUGAUGAUGACGAUCAUUUUGGAUCCUACGGUUUGCUGUUAAUUAUGGUUAAAUAGAAUCGAAACAUCCCUUCUUAUAAGCCCUAUAUAAUAAACUCUUAUGUUGUAUAGAAGAUUUUUUUUUUUUUUUUUUUUAUAACGAGUCAGACAUAUAUCUCCCUGUCAGCCGUGUCAGAGGGAGGAUAUCUACUUAUCUGCAUUAAUCCAAUUGUUUUCAUAAUUUAGCUUAAAUUCAAUUUCACCAAUUUGGGCUUGUCCAAGCACUAAUUUCAGUUCCAAAAUUGAAGGGAAAAAAAAAACAGUAUUGGUAACCUUAUGCCUUCAUGCAGAGAGAACGUACAUUGCGAUGUAAUCUCUGGGUCAAAUGCUAAAUUCCUUCCUUACGGCCAGUACCUUUCCAUGCCUUUCUUGGGUUGCGAGAGCAAACCGGAAAUGUAGACUUUCAGGACAUGUUUUGGACAACCGGGACAUGUUAUUCCACCAUUUGACAUUAGAAGUUUAUAUUUUGACAUUGGCGAUAAAUCAAAACCAAAAUGAACAAUGAUUAGUUACCAAAAUACUCCAGAUGUUAUGAAUAUAUUUGACUUUGGUGCCUGUGGAGCAGGCAAAUAGCAAUAUAUAAGGGCGAGUGCAGCGUGAUUGAUUGUAGAACAAGUCUUUAAGGUGAAAAUGCUGUGAAGAUUCUUUGGAUGAUGGAUUGAACUCAGGUCAUGAUGUUGCUUUAGAGAUUGGUGGAGCUGGUAGUGGACAAAAUGUUACUGAUCAAAGAAUAUCACCUAUGGACCAUGAUGUCCAACUGGAGACAUGACGCAAAAUAAGCAGCCAAAAAAAAAUUAUCACUGUUGAGAGUGGGAUUUGAACCCACGCCCUUUCGGACCAGAACCUUAAUCUGGCGCCUUAGACCAACUCGGCCAUCUCAACUUGUUGAUGGCAGCUACCAACAAUGACAUCAGAUGGUUGCUUUCGGUCGAAAUCUUUAUUACUCAAUAACUUGGAUAGCCUAAAAGGUUUUUUUUUUUUGUUUUUGUUUUGGGAUAGAAAGAAUGAUUUCAUUCAAUAAAUUUACACUAAUGACUGAAAAUGCAUCAAAUCAAACAUUUGAAACGUUAAAAUGUCAUGGGAAAACUUUCUUGAUUGACCAAGUUGAGAAGAAAUAAUACUUGUAUGCGGUGACCCAAUAUACGAUACCGUUUCAUCUCAUAACAUUCUAAACGAACUUUCAUAUCUAGCAUCAAUUUUGUCUGGUAUGAAAACUUGAAGCAGGAAAUAUGAACAUGCAAGAGGGAUUAGAAUAGCAAAUUUAGAUGGUAUGAGACCAAAAUGAUAAGCUUAGAACAUUUUGUCAUACUCUAGGCAACAUCAAGAACAUGUAAUUUGUGUAUUUUCAUAUGUAAAUGCUUGAGAAAUGAAAAUCGAAUUCGUAAAUAUGUUCUCAAUUUCAUAUAUAGUUACAUUUCAUUGUUAAAGAUAUUUCACUUGCCCUAUAAAUACUCCUAACUUCUCAUUUCCUUUCAUCCAAUUAUUAUAUCCUAGCUUAAAUAAUUAUAUCUCCUUUUUUUUUUUUUCUUAUCUCCUCCUUUUGUUAUCCUCCAUAUACACAUUUCUACUGAAUGGUGGAGUUGGCAAUUGUUGAAAAUUUUGAUCUAUAAAUCCACACAAGUUGGCUACCUAAGAUGGAGGAGACUGGACUAGAUUAUGAGCAUGAAAUGGGAAAAGGGAAAUUAAAUUGUUAUGAAAAGAUAUUCAUGACAAAUUAAAGCCUUACGCGAAAAUGUUUAUAUUAUCGUAAUUGAAUCUUCGAAGAACUAAUCGAUUAUUUUUGUGCUUAACUAUAGCGUAUUUGCUUCUUUGUAUUCUAUAAUUCAUGUUUUCUCUUCUUAUAUCUCAAAAACGAAGUCUCCUCAAAUCAGGAGUCUGAUUUUACUCUAAUUCUUUUUCCUUUCCAUGUAUUUAAAGAUCCACAAAAAUAAAAAAGUUGCAAAAGAAGCAUUACACAAGAAAACCAUAUGUAUGGUAAGUUGGUAGUCCAGAAGUACAUUGAAACGGUACAUUUGGAAGUCUAGGACAUGUUUAGGUUACUAACAUGCAGGGAAUACAGCACGUAGAGUUAGUUUUAGGUAGAAUUAGUGCGAUUAUUAUACUUUUUUUAUGAUUUGGUGUAUAUUCACGUGAAUUUAUUGUAUUUCAUAAUUUGAUGUAUAUUUACAAAACUUUUAUCGUACGUUAAAAAAUACAUUAAAAUUAUGUGAAUGUACACUAAAUUAUGAAAAAAAAAAAUAUAACAAUCAUAUGAAGCGCAUUUAAUGCUAACCGUACCUGCACCAAACUCCUAGCGUACCACCCACAACAAUCUUUGCCUGCCCUGCAACACAAGUUGGGACGCUACGUACCUGGAACUGUCAAUCCAAAUGGUUUCUUGAAAAUUAACAAACUUUUACCAUGAAACGAUAAUCCGUGCAAUCUUCGAGCUCCAUAAUUCAUAAUUCUCAAUGAACUGCAUGUAAGACUUUCAGAGCUUCAGAGACACACAUGAAUUAAGGAAACAACUAGAUUUCUUAAUUAGACUAGCUAGGCAGAGUUAAAGAUAAUGCCUAGUCUUCCCGUUUGAUCGUGGUCUUGUCUUUGCAUGAAGAGCAGCAAGAAAGGGGUUAUGUUAAGCUGAGGGAGUUAUAGGGCAACUCUCCUUUGGCAGGUUACGAAGAAGUUGGCACGAAGAUUUACAUGGCACCAGUACUCCAUCAACUGCCAAGAGGAGAUCUGCCCUAAAACUGGCUCGCUUAUAUAUUUUCUUCAGUCAAGGGAUGGACUCACUCUUUCUUACAUGCCUUGAAGGACCAAAACUGAAGUCUAGAUUUAUAUAUAGCCACUCUUUGGGUUUCCCUGUCUUCUGGAAAUCGAAUAAGGGGGGUUGAAGAAAGAUAGCAUAUGGCAUAGGGUUUUAUGCCUUCGGAUAUACCGUUGAUUAUGCCUGCUUUUUACGCAUUCCAUGGCUCCAUGUAGGGCUGCUUUUAUCAGAAAAGGCCCCUUAAAUGGCUUGGGAAAAUGCGGGAGAUUCGAGGCUGCAUGAUCCUGACUUAUGGUAAUGUUUUGCCUUUGUAGCUUUAAGCCUUUCUUUCUGUGUACGUACGUGGAGAAAGAUGUACAGAUAUAAAGCAAUCCAGAAGUGAUGCCACUUUUUGCUUAAGACCCUCGAGACCCUUAAGGUAUAUCCUUUGUCAUAUUCUUCUUCUGGCCUUUUGAGUCGGUUCAGAAUUUGGGUUAAUUUUGGGUUGCGAUUAUAUAUCAUUGAGCUUUGUCUAUAAUUCCAGAUCACCUUGUGCAAUUACGCUCUUUAUCUCAAGGCUUGUUUGUGACAUAGUAGCAAAAGAAUAAUGACAACAGUUGGAAAUCCGAUUUUGGAUAUCAACAUAAAUUUUAAAAAAUUAACAAUAAAUAUAUAGAGUUCAAAUAUAUCUAUCAACCACCUAUAUACAAUAAUAAAUAUGUUACUUACAGGCUAACAACCAAACAUAAACAUAAAUCCUAUAUAUACAAUGUUACAGGAAUGGAACACAUUUGCUUAGUUCUACCAUAUUAAUGGGUCCGUUUGGAUCAAAGAUUAUUUGGAAUAAUAUUGUAACACUUUUUGUAAUGUGAUACAUAUGAAAUGAAAAAAAAAAAGUAAUUAAAAAAUUACGUUUAUGAUGCAAGCAGAACAAAAUUUAGAAAUUAUUUUUUUAGCAAAUCUUGAUAACCAAACAAAUCCAUUUUAUGUUCACCUGGCAUUAGUGAUAAGUUGCUUUUGGGAUAAGUUUCGGAGCUUGGAUGAUUGUAUAUCAAUAUUCAUAGCAGAGACAUGCACUAAAGUAUAGAAUAAGAGGCAGGAUAAGGCAAGAAAUAGUAGUAUUAUAGUCAUUCCCACUAGUUCCUAUGAUGCCAAGCAAUAUAGAUUUAUUUUACUAUAUGUUCACAAAAAUUUAAGAGUUCCAAAUAAGUAAGUAAAAACUAGGAGAUGUAAGCUAAACUGUGUGAUUUAUAGAAUAGAACGGUAGAAAAGACAGGAACACGGCAUACAGACACUUCCCAAAGGUCAUUUUACAUAGAUUUUUAUGUAAAGAAAUGCAGCAUUGUUGUUUUUUCAGAGCAACUUUCACUUCCACAUACAUGUAAAGAAAACCAAAAAAAAAAAAAAAUUUGAUAGCUAAGGAAAAAAAAAAAAAGGAAAUUUCAUCAAUUUGACUUUUCACUUGCAAGUCUCUCGUUUAGCAUCGUUACUCCCAUGUACCUGCAAGGCAACAGCGAGUAAACAUAGAGUCAAAUCAGUAACACUUGAGACUGCUAACAAAAAUUAGAGAACAAAAAAUGGCUAGAAUGUUAUUCUGGAAAAUUAAUCCUUGCAUUUUUACCUUCCCAGCAUCAUAACAGUGGCUUGAGGAUUUGUUCCAGGAGAGUCAUAAAAUGUAGAGCCAUCGAUAACUCGUAAGUUAUCCACCCCUAAAACUUUAUAAUCUUCAUCAACAACUCUAUUAACUUGACAUCCUCCAUGGUAAUGCCAAAUGGUCAUAACAGUAUCUUUACAGAACUGUUCCAAUGAAGUUGAGGCAUUGCUAUGUCUGGGCAACAGGUUCACCGGAGAAUUCGCGGUCAUGUUGAGGAGGACUUGUAAGGUCAAGUCAUCAUACCUAAAUUUGGAGAAAGAUUUUGAUUCAAUUACGCUUUCGAUGACCUUGAUGCCAUCAACACAUCGUUUUAAGUCCUCUGGUUCUUGGAAAUAGUUGAAUGUGACUGAUGGAUUUGCAUUUGGGUUCUUCUUCCGAAGCAUUAAGUAGCCAUUUGAGAGAGGACCCAUGGUUUUUUCCAGGAUGAAUCCACCGCUGAAAGCUACUGCAUCAAGUUUGCUCAUGUCAUCGAUAGCUUUGGCUAAGGCUUCUGGGGUUCUUUGUUUUGGUGGCAGUGUGCUGAGCUGACCAAUCUGCAAAUGCAAAAGCAAACGAGAAAAGAAAAUUUCUUCUUGCAACUUUUGCUCCAAUCAAGUUAUAUUGAAGCAACUUAUAACUCUUGAAUUCCAACAAAAAAAAAAAAAAACUCUCGAAUUAAAUUUAGUUUCAAUUACAGGACAAUUGACGAGUCAACUUAUACGUCUACCACACUAGGAGGAUGAUCAGUGAAAAAAAAAAAAAAAAACUCUCGAAUUAAAUUUAGUUUCAAUUACAGGACAAUUGACGAGUCAACUUAUACGUCUACCACACUAGGAGGAUGAUCAGUGAAAAAAAAACAAGUGUACCUUAGGAGAGAACAUUCCGAAGUCCCUGCUAGCUGAACCACCGGCAAAGUUUGCACCACUGGCAGCCUCAAUAUAGCUUCCAAAGCGGGUGAUACCCACAACUUGGAUGAGGGAAACCUCAACAGGGGAAGGAGAUGGGACGUAGAUGGCAUUCAUGGGGUUAUCAUACAUGCCUAGGCCAACAUAGGGCUGAUGAUAAAUCACAGUUAUGUUGUGGUGUCUCAGGUGAUCUUCUGGUCCUAUUCCGCUCAACAUCAGUAGUUGUGGGCUUCCAAGUGCACCUGCUGAGACAAUCACUUCAUUUCUGGCUCCUGCUUUAAGGUAUGCUUUGUGCUUGAUUCUUGCAGCAUCUCUGAAGAUCACUCCAUGCGCUAAAGGCUUUGAUCUUCCUGAACGAACAUAUAGCUAAAUUGCUCGGUUAAAACUUCAAAAGUCAAGAAAGUGAAAUGUAGUAUUUGGUUGAAAUUAAUUGCUUAAAAGACGACGACAGCUUUUUCUAUCAAGAGACUGUUCUAGAGCUACUCCGCCUCUUGCAUUAAACUUAAUGGUCCAAUUCCACGGUCCGGGCUUUAAGGUCACAACAAUAUGUCAGUCAUUAUAUUAUAACCUCAAUUAUUAUAACAAAAAAAAUAUUAAAAAAAAAAGGAGGCAAAACUAGUUUAAUUAAUUCUCUCUUGAUUUUAAUGACCUGUGCCGGCAAUUGACAGCUUCGUCUUUCAAGGAUUAAUCCUACAGCCACUCAAACAUAUCUAACUUUAUGGUCCAAUUAAUUCCACAUGUGGACUUCCUUAUCAAGAUGGAGCUAAGGUGGUCAAUUCUGACCGGGUAAACAGACACAAGUCCAAUCUUUCCAUUCUACACAACCCCCCCUUUUUGCAACUAUGAAAUAAAAAUAGUAUUUACUAAAAGGGGCACGCAUGCAUCGUUCUUGAUUCCCCCCACCCACCCACCCACCCAAAAACUAAAAUAAAAUAAGCCUACAAAUUAAACACAGACUAUGCCAUGCCAUGAUAUGCCUAGCUAAGGUCACCUUACCUUUGGUUCCGAACAAGAUUUUGUGGACAGUUGCAUGCAAUAGCACGGUGAGCCCUUUAGGAUUUGCAUACUCAAGUAGGUCUGCAGCAGUAUGUCUAGUACCGUUUUGAUCAAAAAUGGUUCCGCCAACCUUAGUCCCGUACAAAUGGUCAUAGGUAAAACCGUUGUAAGGCCUCACACCAGACUCAAUCAAGCCAUCCCUCACAGCUGACUGCCACUGCUUCACGGGUGGUUCGAAUGCAACCUUCUUCUCCACCCAUUCGUAUGACUCGUUCACCAGCUUCCCAUCCCAGCCUAAAUCCCUCACGUAGCUGGUGGAAGCACGCGAGUAGAAGCCCGCAUUUAGGCAGCUUCCACCGCCUAGCACGCGAGCACGGGCGUUGAUUACACCGUCUUCUGAGAUGAAACGCUGAGAAGGGGAGGACGGAGAGAGGUCGGACAGGGCUGCCCCAAAUGUAUUUAGAUUGGUGAUGUUGGGAUUGCCAUAUGGUGAACCGCCGCGUUCGAGUAGGAGGACACUAUAAUUUUGAGAAAGCGUGGCGGCUAAGGGGCAGCCGGCGGUGCCUCCGCCAAUAAUGAUGUAGUCGUAGAAUGAAACAUCCGGGGCUGAAGUUGCUUCAUGCACAAAAGUGUAGUUUGGAGCUGUAGAAGGAAAUGCACACCAUUAGCGGACAAUGGUCCUUCAUGUAAAUCUUGCGACUACUUACAAGUAUAAUUGCUAAAUCAAGAUGUUGAUCGGCAAUUUAAUUAACGUGUUUUAAAUCUGUGUACUACUAAUACACGAGCCAAAAGAAGCAUUAACAUCAAAUCAAGACAGUUACUUUCAUUGAAGGGUUCUUUUCUUCCCUUCCUUUACAUUGAUUUCCCGGCUGAUUAAAACUUUUCACGCAGAACGAAAUAUAAAGGGAAAGUUGAUCCAAGUUGGAACCUAAAAUUUUGUACGCACAACUCAAUGGUCAAAGACAGGCUCGUGAGUUUGUUGGCUCUAAUUUUAUUAGAGUCAAUCAUUUCAGAAGAGGUAAAUUAGAGCCAAUCAUUUCAGAAGAGGUAGUUGGAUGACCAUAAAGUUACGACACUAAUCUACAAAUGUUAAAUAGUGCUAGUAUUUGCCGAGAUAACAGUUGACCGGAAUCCACCAAGAUAAUUAACGCCUACAAGCUGAAUCUUUUACGUGUUCUAAAAGAGCCUUUUACACUUUCUCUUUUGUUGACUAAAGAGGGACUUUAAAUUUCAUACAGUAAUUACCAAGAAAAAAUUUACUGCAAAAAGACAAAAUCAGUAUUUGAUUUUGAAGUUAAAAAAUAAUAAUAAUAGCUGUGGAACAUGAAUCCAGCACACAUUCACACAAGAGCCAAACGCAGUGAUGAAAUGUACUACGCGUACCUUGUGUCUUGCUAAAAACUUGCUGCCAAAAACUGAACAAAAAGUCAAAACAAUACCGCCAUUAAGAAGAUCAUUCUUCCAAUGUAGCCAAAUAAAAUUACUCUCGAUCUCAUUGUAUGGAUCCAUUUAUCAACCGAUUCUUCGUACAGUUCAAAAGUUGCAAAUUUAAUGCAGCUUUCCCUUAUGAAUAUCUCACUUAUCCAUUUAUCAACCGAUUGUCAUUAAUUUCAUAUAUAGAAGGUACCAACGAGAAAGAAGCUAAAAUAGCAGCAUUGAUAGGAAAAUUACUAGACUUAUAAGAAACUUGAGUUCUUGGCUUCAUCAAAAUGCAAAUGUAUGAAGUUUCUGAUCAAACUUUGGGCUUCAUGCACAUGCAUGUAACAGAAGUGCUUUACAAAAUUGCAUGUCUAAACCAAAAUAUCAAAAUUAAGAAAAGAACAGAUAAGGAGGAAGAGUUUGGUACCUUUUUCAGAUAAACAAAAGCCAUGGAAAAAGAGGAUGCCAAGAAUUGUAGCAGCAGAAAGGACUCUCCAGCCCUCUAAACCCAUGAAGAAAAGUGUGGUUGUUCGAUCCACAACUCCGAAAAGCUCAAGUGAAGACUUGAUAAUUCUGUUUCUUUGCUUUUUUAAGGUGAAGACUUGAAUUCAAGUGGAAGAAAAGGUGAAUGUUAUCCUAUAUAAGCAAAUACAAACCCUUUAACAACAGAAAGCCAACGACCUUGACGGCAAUAAAUUUGAGCGUACAAAGACUAUUCCUUCUUUUGGCUGCGUCGGCUACCAAUUAUCAUGCACUGCCUAUUUAACAGUGACUAUCGGAGAGGAGAGGAGAUUUGUUGAUGGAGUAGCCAAACUACCCAAAGCUUCAAUAGAGCUUUCAAGAAAUGUGGGUGGUGUGACCUACACUCAUGGCAAAAAAUUUGAGGCUAGAUUUAAAAGGAAGCAAAUAAUACUAGUAAUUAGCAGUCAGUUUUAAGUCAAAACUGUUCUAGAAAAUCCGAUGCCACAAAAGAAAUGUGGUUUCUGUUUUAUCGUACAUCUGUUUCUUGUUUGUCUGCCUUUCUUCUCUUAAUUUUAAUCGCAGAAUAGAAGAAGAAUGCAAAUGGUGUCCAUUGUUCCUUCUUUUAAAGCUGGGAAUGGUUGGUGGGUGCUAGGGGGGGGGGGUGGCAGGGACGAGAGAAGUUGGAUGGCAGUUGGACUCGACAUUAAUGGUUGCACUUACACAGUAAUACGUGGCCUAAUUUCGUGCAACAUGCAACUCUCAGCCAAUCCUUUAUUCAUUUUUUCUUCCAAAUCAAUUGCAGAAACCAAAGAAAAAUGAAACAAGUAGGGCAAGAGAUGUUGCAUUGCAUGUCGUCCUUUCGAACUCAGUUUGAUUUGAAGUUAACACAGUGAUAUUUCAUCUUCAACUGGGGCUUAUUAACAUUUUGCCCAGAUAUAUCUUCGGGCCUCUACGUUAUUUCGUCUGUGUAGUUUAUUAGUGAGUGACUGAUUGCUGUCUUCAGAACCUACAGAUCUCGCGGAAAAUUGUCUUUCAAACUGUUGGCUCAAAUAUAGCCUCUGAUUCGAUCAAGACCGGAUGCCAAUAUGUUUCUGGCCCAGAAUAAUAUUUGAUCCCAGAAAUAAUUACUAUCUUAUUAUGCUCUAAGCAAAGGCUCCGACCUGGAACAAUUACAGCUCUAGUCCAGUACCACAUCCAAGGCGCAUUAAAAAGUGUAGGAAGAAUCUCUAUUGAAAGAAGCGAUGUUCUUCAAUUUGGGGAACUCUGUUCCCUCUCUAGAGCUUACAUAUUGUCUGUCUAAAAUUCUGGAGUACUCCCUCCGUCUCACACACUUUGAUAGUGCUGCUUUCCUUCUUCGUCUCUCCUAAAUUGGAGUUCAUUUUCUAAUUAAAAAAUGUGAUUGUCUUUUAAUUUCUCUAAAAUACCCUUAUUCAAUAUAAGUUAUUAUUACUAUAAACUACUACCUUAUUUAAUAUAGAUUGUUAGUAUUGAAUAUAACCUAUCCCAUUUAAUAUAUUUUUAGAUUUUUCAAAACAAAUGGAUAUAUGAAAAGCCAACUUUAUUUAAUGUAAGGAUAUUUAGGAAUAUAGCCAUCUAAAUUUAUUUUUUCAAUAAAGUUAACUAUUUUUUCGUAAACUGUGUAAAAAAAAAAACUAGAACGGAGGGAGUAUUAUCGAUACUACUACCUACCUUAGACAAUUGAGCCUUUUCAUUUUUACUACAACUACACGAACAUUAUUAUGAGCGCAUGAGUUUGUAGUUUUAAAAAACCCCAUUUAAAUUCUUUUAAAAAAUAAAUUGAAAGUUGAAACACCAGAAGUUCGUCAAAAAUCUGCCAUGGACCACCAAACACAACAUAGAAACGUAUCUUAAUGAUCAGUGUGGCUUAUGGCCCUCCAAUUCUUCAUGGAUUAAUUCCUCAAGCUUCUUCUCUUUUUUUUUUUUCCUUUUCAAUUAUGCUUUUUCUUUUUAUAUUCGGUGAUUGUAAACUUUCGAACUCGGUUUGUACUUUACCUGUGAUUUUUGUUUCCUCUUUCUUACAGUGACAUGAGAAGGCAAGAAUGGCUAUUUUUGGCGAAGGUGAUGUUCCCUAUGGCUAUGACUGAUACGGAUUGGAGUGUCGCAAUUGUCACGAGGUGGAGUGGACCACGGCUUUGAUUAUGGACGUCCAACUACUUACCUCUGAGCUGCUCAGCAUUAGUAAAUGGAAUGGUUAUGGGGUACCGUACAUCACAGCUUUUUGAUUGUGUUGGAGCUCUAAAGCUUCCAACUAAUCCAUCUAUCUCUUCGAUAUUCACAGCAUUUAUCAAUUUGACGAACUUUUAUAUUUGCAACUUUGAAGUUCACGUACUUCCUUCUUCCGAGUCUGAAGCGUCUGAGACUGCUGGAGUGGAAGAAGGGAGUUUAAUGUUAGGAGUUGCUACGCCAAGAUUCUUCCCAAGAAUCGGAAAAAGAACCCAAAAAAAAAAAAGUCCAGAAUGACAAGUACCGAACAAUAACUCGUGUGACAGUUGAAUAUAAAUGUAGGCUGAGAGUAGCACCUCUUAUAUGCUGCUUUAGGUUUCGGCCUUUUUAAAAAAAAAACAAAAACAAAAACUUUUGCUGUAUAAACAUGAUCAUAAACAGUCAUGAACUGCAACACCUGAUCAAACCCCCUUCAUUUAGAGAAAAACUAUUGGAUUGCAUUUUUUUGCAUUUUUUUUUUUUAGAAAACUUACUGUACACUAGAUAAAAAGAUGAUUGAAAAAUAUAUUUACGAAAAACGUAGAAGUUGCUUUCCAAACAAAGCCUAUAUUUUGCCAUAAUUGCUUUUGCACAUUCUUGUGGAUAGCCGCCAAAUCCCGUGAAAGAACACUCAGGGACGAAGAAAAAAAACAAAUUGCAAACUAGGAAUUUCUUUGUCCUGAAACUGGCUGUGCAAUGCGUCAAUACAAACUUAACAAAGGUUGUGUGUACUAUAACCUAGCCAAGAUGAUGGUUGUGUGGGUGUGUGUGUGUGUGUUAAAAAAAUAGAAAGAACUGAAAAACUAUGUAUACAAAGGAACUACAGCAGCGUUAAUAAGAAACCAACAAAAAAGAUGUAUGCAAAACCAAUCGAUUGACAAAGAGAUAUACGAGACAAAGAACUCGAAUAAGAAUGCAUUAAGAAUCGAAGAUGCUAUCGAACUUCAGUACAUUAAGCUAGUAAAGAGAGUUAUAGGUACAGCAGGUUGCAAUAAUUGAUGCAACGCAUAUCAGUAAUGAAGGAAGAAGGGUGAAAUUCAGGAGCUUAUUCUGCCCUAAAAAACCAGCCAGCGUGAUGGUUCCAUCUGCAAUGACUCGAGCAAUUGUACCAGCUUCGGUUGACAAGAGUCC
rnacentral:lncRNA from 1 species